rnacentral:rRNA from 1 species
GAUGAACGCUGGCGGCGUGCCUAAUACAUGCGAGUCGAACGCUGGAACUCUAGCUUGCUAGAUUGAAGGAGUGGCGAACGGGUGAGUAAUACAUAAGCAACCUACCCACGAAGACUGGGAUAAUCUCUGGAAACGGGGACUAAUACCGGAUAGGUAAUCGGAAGGCAUCUUCUGAUUAUUAAAGGUUAAAAACACUGGUGGAUGGGCUUAUGGCGCAUUAGUUAGUUGGUGAGGUAACGGCCCACCAAGACGAUGAUGCGUAGCCGGCCUGAGAGGGUGAACGCCCACAGGGGGACUGAGACACGGACCAGACUCCUACGGGAGGAAGCAGUAGGGAAUUGUCGGCAAGGGGGGAAAGCCUGACCAAGCAACGCCGCGUGAGAGAGGACGGCCUUCGGGAUAUAAAGCUAUUUUGUAAGAGAAAAACGGUAGAUAGAGAAUAUCUAAAUGACGGUACCUUAUCAGAAAGCCACGGCUAACUACGUG